GACGAACGCUGGCGGCGUGCUUAACACAUGCAAGUCGAACGAAGUGGCGAACGGGUGAGUAACACGUGGGUAACCUGUCCUUUUCUUUGGGAUAAGCUUCCGAAAGGGUGAUUAAUACCUACUUGUAAAGGGUGGGCUCGGGGUUGAUCAGUUUGUUGGUGGGGUAAUGGCUUACCAAGGCUUUGACGGGUAGCCGGCCUGGGAGGAGGAACGGCCACAUUGGGACUGGGACACGGCCCAGACUCCUACGGGAGGCAGCAGUGGGGAAUCUUCCGCAAUGGACGAAAGUCUGACGGAGCAACGCCGCGUGAGUGAUGACGGCCUUCGGGUUGUAAAGCUCUGUUAAUCGGGACGCGGUACCGGAAUAGAAAGCCACGGCUAACUACGUGCCAGCAGCCGCGGUAAUAC
rnacentral:rRNA from 1 species